rnacentral:rRNA from 1 species
UCUAGUUAAUUCUACUAGUAGUUAUAUACUUAUCUUAAAGAUUAAGCUAUACAUAUCUAAGUAUAAGCAAUUAUAUAGUAAAACUAUAAAUAGCUUAUUAUAUAAGUUAUUAUUUAUUUAAUAGUACCUUACUACUUAGAUAACUAUAGUAAUUCUAGAGCUAAUAUAUACUAAAAAUCCUAACUUUAGAAGGGAUAUAUUUAUUAGAUUAAAAACCAAUACCCUUUAGGCUCCUUAGUAAUUUAUAAUAACUUUUUAAAUUGCACAGCCUUGCACUAGUAAUAGUUUAUUUAAAUUUCUUCCUUAUUAACUUUUAAUGUUUAGGUCUUAGCUAAACAUAGUCGUAAUAGGUAACAAAGGGUUAAGGCUCAACCCUAGAGAAGGAGCCUAAGAAAUGGCUACUAUAUCUAAGGAAGGCAGUAGGCAUGCAAAUUACCUAAUCCCGAUUUAGGAAGGUAGUAAUAAUAAAUACUAAUAUAGGGCUCUUUUAGGUCUUAUAAUUAGAAUAAGUAUAAUUUAAAUCUCUUAAUAAGGAAUAAUUAGAGGGCAAGUCUAGUGCUAGUAGCUAUAGUAAUUCUAGCUCUAAUAGUGUAUAUUAAAGUUAUUAUAGUUAAAAAGCUUGUAGUUAAACCUUAGGCCUAGCUAGCUAGUCCGCCUUACUGUGUGUACUAGUCUGGCUAGGCCUUUCCCUCUAUAGAACCCUAUACUCUUUACUAAGUAUGGUAGUAAAAUAGGACUUUUACUUUAAAAAAAUUAAAGUACUCUAGGUAGGCCUAUACUUAAAUAUAUUAGUAUAGAAUAAUAAAAUAGGACGCGUAGUUCUAUUUUAUUGGUUUCUAGGACCACUAUAAUAAUUAAUAAGGAUAGUUAGGGGCAUUAGUAUUUAAUUAUUAGAGGUGAAAUUCUUAGAUUUAUUAAAGACUAACUACUAUAAAAGCAUUUACUAAGAAUAUUUUUAUUAAUUAGGAAUAAAAGUUAGGGGAUUAAAGACAAUUAGAUACUAUUAUAGUCUUAACUAUAAACUAUACUAACUAGGGAUUAGAUAAUAUUAUUUUUUAAUGUAUUUAGCACCUUAUGAGAAAUUAAAGUGCUUAGGCUCUAGGGGGAGUAUAGUUGUAAGGCUAAAACUUAAAGAAAUUAAUAGAAGGGCACUACUAGGGGUAAACUGCUUUACAUAGCCAUAGUAGCUCUACCCUAGAAAGCAGCCUAAAAGGGUUAGUAGUGUUCCUACUAGCGCUCUAGUGUGGCGAACUAAUUGCUAGUCUCCUCUAGAGGUAAUACCCUUAAAUUGCAAGAAAAUCCUAAAGCUAGUAUUACUAAGCUAGCACUAAAAGGGCGUUAGUAGCUAGGGUAGUGACCUAGGGUAUAGUAAAAGUACACUAGAUAAUGCAAUAGACAAUCCGCAGCUAAGCCUUGUUGCUAUAGGGCACGGGGAAGGUUUAGAGACUACAUAGGGGUAGGUAGUGUACUAUCUAGGGGCUCUAGCCCCUAAGCGCCCGCUUAUAACAUUACUUAAGAUAUAGUCUAGCUAUGCUAGAAAUAGCAUAGGCUAGUAAACCUAGAAAUAGGAGCCUAUAGCUUAAUUUAACUUAAUAUAGGGAAACUUACUAGGUCUAGAUAUAAUAAGGAUUAAUAGAUUAAGAGCUCUUUCUUAAUUUUAUAGGUAGUAGUGUAUAGCUAUUCUUAGUUAGUAAAGUAAUUUAUCUACUUAAUUAUAAUAAUAAACA